GGAGGAGGUGACACAGAAGCUGAUGUCACAGCUAGCCUGAACAGGUUCAGAGAAAGGGAGAGCAGGGACAGACAGUUUGGGGCAGCACUGGGACUGGAGGUUGGACUGACCCGGGUGGGGGGCUUAUAAGUUCAUGAGGUGCAGGCAGAUCAGGAGGAAAGUGAGGUGGGUAGUGGGUUCCUGUGCUGUUCUGAGCACCACAGGGGCUUUGUCUGAGAAGAUGAAGUGAUGUGGAAUUUCCCUCUGUAUGCUGUGAUUACCAUUAAUGAAUAAAGAAACUGCUUUGGACCUAUAGCAGGGCAGAACUUAGGUAGGUGGGGAAAACUAAACUGAAUGCUGGGAGAAAGAAAGGUGGAGUGGGAGAGAAGCUAUGUAGCCCCGCUGGAACCAGACGGACCUUUAGCAGGUUCUGCGGAGUGUAAUCAGCGACGAUGAUCUCCCGGAAGACCUCACAUGCUGAAAGCAGCUGGUAGAUGGUGGGGCCAGUGCCAAUGUCGAUCAGGACAUCACCCCUUAUACCUCCUGUGGAGAUAGCAGGGGCAGGUCUGAGUAUCCUGACUCCACAUCCUGCUAACUGUAUGGAGAACUCCAAGCCUCAUUAGGGUGUGCCAGAUUUUCAGAGAGAUGCAAAGUCCUAGACCAUCUGGAGAGCUCUCUGGAAGGUCUGUGGUGGCAGAGGAGGGUGGAGCAGCUUUGGGCUCAUGCUCAUAUCGUCACUUCUCCCAGCAGUCACCUAGGGGCUCUACAAAUCUGGCAUCCCCCUCGAAUUUUACAAGUGGAGCACCUGAGGCAGAUCACGGCUGCAAGCUCUCGAAGCAAGGCUCCCCUGGACCAACACACAUGCCAUCUGGGGACCCUGGGGGCUGCCAGGCUGGUCACCUCUGCAGCAUCUGUACGUACAGGACAGGCUCUUGGUGUUGGCACGGCUCCAUACCCUUCCCAGCGGGGACUUCAACCACUCACCCAUAGAGAAGGUCUGGUGAAGGUUCUGCAGGCUAAACUUGAUGAUUUCCCGUUCUGCCACCGGGCCUGAGUCAAAGUUGUAGAAGGUGUCCAGGUAGUCUCGGGGACUGAACUCCUUCUCGUAGUCCUCACCACCCUGGUACACCUUGCCCUCCAUUCUGGUCAGCCUGGUACAGCUGUCUGUACUCCCCUUGCCCCUGCAGAGUACCCACCCUUUCCUGUCACACCUAUUAUAUAAUCUCCUUGAGCAGAUCUCCCUUCUUGGGGAGGAGCUAGAGUCCCUGCAGUGAUAUCAGGGUGCUGCUGUCAGAUUCCUGGCUGGGUAUCAUUUUUGUGACAGAGGAGUGUCCCCAGGCCUGUCUUGGGGAAGCGCUCAUCGCUAGUUCUCCAGGGUGGUGUGUUUGUUCCCCGGGGGGGUGCUGCUUGGGAGAGGGAGAGAAUUACAGAGGGACAGAGAGGAAGAGCAGAGAGACCAGGGUCUGCUCAGCGAUGCUUUGCUCUUGGGGUUGAGAGCAGAGGGUGGGGACUCAGGGCCAGGUCCCUGGCCAAAACAUUCAACAUCCUGGGCUUCAUCUGUGCUAUAGCAAAUAAAACAAGAACCAAAGAGGAGUGCUUCCUGGGAUGGGGAAGUAGGAUCUGAGAUUCUCGAAAUUUCUCCGCUAUUCAGUGAAUUUGCCUUUGCAAACAGUUUGCCUGUAACUGAGUUAAUGAUUCCCUGGGGGGUUUAAUCUUGUUUUCUCACUCAGCUUAAUGUUUUCUUUUUUAUUAGCUCAAGAGUAAACUUUGACAGCACUUCCCUAAAUCAUCAGGCCUGUGCUGGUUGGUACUCCCUGUAUUUGGACAAACAAUUGAAAAAGUGUCAACAUACGUGAGAAGGUGCCGUCACUCUGCACAGACUUCCACAUACCCCUGCACACAGGUGGUCCCAUGUGCACGUUGCCCCCCCCCCCUCCGGCCCCAGGAUUGUUAGGUUGCUUGUAUCUGGUGUGGUCUGGUCUAGUUGCCUUGAAAGAUGAUGCUCCAGUUUGUUUUUAUUCUGUUGCUAUGGUAAACACCAUGACCAAAAUCAACUUGGGAAGGAAAGGAUUUAUUUGAAUUUUUUUGUUGUUGUUGAUCAGUCAGUCCAUCGUUGAUGGAAGUCAGGACGUGAACUGAAGCAGGAGCAGGGGCAGACCUUGAAGGAACACUGCUUACUGGCUUGCUCAACCUGCUUUCUUAUACAACCCAGUUCUUCUGGCCAAGAGGUGGCACUACCCACAGUGCCCUGGGCUCUCCUAUCAAUCAUUAAUCAAUAAAAUACCCCACAGAGCAGUCUGGUGGAGGCCAUUCCUCACUUGAGGUUCCGACUUCCCAGGGGGUUGGUAUGUGUUAGGUUGGCACAGCUGCUACACCAAAGGGAAGGGGAGCAUUGACAGAGGAUGCAUGUACUUUUGCACCGUGGCAGGGACUCCGCAACGAUCACAAGAUGGAGAAAGAAAAGCUUGCCCAUCCAAAAGUCACCUAAGGGCAUCUGGACAGCAAACUUCAGAGCUGGUUGCCCAAGGGCAAGCAUGGGGUGCAGGUGUCACAGCUUGGGCAAAGUUCAUAACACCAACCGUCUACUAUGUGACAGGGGUCUGCUGUCAUCUUCACAGCAAUCUUCCAGGUAGAUGCCCUGUCAACAACAAGGAAGGGGGCAGCGUGAUGUCCAAGGCCACUCUGGUAGCAGAGGAGGCCAAGACGCCAGAUUAAUGUUCAAGGUUUUAUGCCCAAAGUGGGAACACAGACCUAUGAUGAGUCUCAUCCUGUUUCAUCACCCCGAGUCCUCUCCCAUGCUCUCUGCCAUUCACCUGGGAACCCAGUGAUAUAAUCUGAGCCCUGGAUCUCCCAGCAUGCCCUUAGACACCAUCCUUCAAGCCAGAAGAAAGAGACCAGCUACCCAGAAUGGAAGAUGAUCUCCCAGGCUAUCUAGAGCUUGGGAACACAUCUCCACAGGAUGUAAACUCACUCGAACCCACCUUUUGUUGUCGUCGUUCUUGUCCUGUUCAUUGUGGGAUGCACAAGAUUCCCCUUUCCUGGAAUUCACAGAGCCUGGACUCUGGUGUUUCUGCUCUGUAAGAGUGGUACUGCACAGCAGUUCCUCUGGGUGCAAGAAGUGCAAUUAGCUACCUACUCAAUUUAUCUAAGAAGGAUUGAAGCAAGGAUCGGAGGAAGCUAAAUCCUAGUGGGUUGAUGUGAAUGAAGACACGGAAGGUGUGACAUUUGUCUAGGGUUUCUCAUAUCUGCCCCUGACACUUGCACCUGUGCACUUGUGCAAAGAUCCCUUCCGCCCUCUGCCCGCAUGUGUCUGGGAUGGCCCCCUGAAUAUGUUAGCUGUGCUCCCUGGCAUUCAACAGUUGAAAUUCAAGCAGCUGCUGUGAUUGAUGGAACCUGUGAUUAGGGUCUGGCUUUUGACUGGGUUUUUACGUAUGUGGUGAUUGAGUCAAGGCUUGAAAACUUUCAGUAUAAACAAUUUCGUCAAAGA